UCCCCCAUUCACUCCUCCCAACGGGUAAGGGCUCCCAUGGGGAAUCAACAAAGUCUGGCACAUUAAAUUGGGGCAGGACCAAACUCCUGAGCACAGCAUCCACCAUAGGGAGUGGGCCCCAGCAAACUAGCCAUGCACCAGCUAUCCUGAUCCUAUUGCCAGGAACCCCUCAGGUAGACCAAGCUUCACCACACAUGGAGGGCCUAGUUCGGUCCCAUGGAGGCUCCACAGCUGGUGGUCUAGAGUUUAUGAGUUUCCACUAUCUCGGUUCAGCUGUCUCUGUAGAGUUCCCCUUCAUGAUCUUGAUCUCCCUUGCUCUUGUAUCCCCCCUCCCUCUGUUUGGAUUUCGGGAGCUCGGCCUGGUGAUUGGUUGUGAAUCUGCCUCUGAUUCUGUCAGUUACUGGACGAGGGCUCUAUGAUGAUAGUUGGGAUAGUCACCAAUCUGAUUGCAGGGGAAGGCCAGUUCGGGCUCCCUGGGGCCAUCCUUGUGGAUUCUUGGGAAUUUCCCUAACACCAGGCUUCUCCCGAACCCCAUAGAGGUUCUCUCUACCAAGAUCUCUCUUAUCAUUACUCUUCCACUCCAAAGAUAUUCUAACGAUUGACUUUACACAGCAAUAUGUUCAAAGAGGUGCUCUAGGAAAUAAUGACUUUAAAAGGAAGGCUUGAUAGGCAAGUGGUUCUUGAAAUGCAUUGGAAAAGGGGAACAAAAUGACUGUUAGCUUGGCUAGCCACUGUAGGCAGAAAAUUAUCAUCAAACGCUUCUGAAAUAGCUGGGUUCUAGGAGCUUCCAUGGACUCGUGGGUUGUAUUCGUGAUCCUCUGACACAUUUUUAAAUUUCAACCUAGGAAAGUUUGUUUAAUAAAAGUUACACACCUGUGAUUUAUCUGAAGAAAGCAACCUCAUUUAUUGUACAAGGAAUGUUCCUGAAUCAUCCUCACCAAACGGACCAGAAAUCUGAAGGAAAGUGUAAAUUCAACCAUCGGAGUAGAAGGGAACUAAAGCUUCUGCAGAUCCCUCCUCACGGGAGUGACAGAAAGGGCUUCCAGCAGACUCCCAAACCCGUGCACAGGAGACCUGAAGGGUGUGAAAACCUACGUUUAAGAAACCCAUCAAAGUAGGAGGGAACGAUGAGCCGGCCUUGAGUUGCUUUGUGCAUGUAAAAGUUCUCAUUCGCUCAGUCAGCCGUCUAUGGAGCACACAGAUGAGGUGACACAGCCCCCGUUCUGGCCCACAGUGGGUCCCAGUCUGUAACUGACAUCCCCUGUUCUCUUCAGCCUUGCCCUGGAGUGUAGGCAGACCCCGGGUCCUCAUUUGGUGCAUGAAUAUGCAGGCUUGUUUUGUGAUAUUUUUCUCUGUGUGUUUCUACUCUAACAAAAUUCCUUAAGAUGAGUUGUGUUGUUUUAAAUAAAAAAAAAAAAACCUCUGACUUAAUGAAAUUGCCUCCAGGAAGACUUUAGUGGGCACCCAGGAACUGCGGCGUGGCCACUGGUGACCCACUUUGCCAUGACUGCAUUUGUGUUCUUUUUAUGAACACGUUUUCUCUUUCUUCGAUGUGGCCCAGAAGGUCAGUAUUUGGUGGAGAACAAAGGGACGCCACGGUUAAGGUUCCUGGAAACCAUGUGAAAUAAGUACUAUUGCACAGCUCUGAAAUGUUAAUCAAACAUGUCAGUUGUCCUCUGUUUAAAUAGCUAAGCGUGGUUCUGUGCUCAUCUUCCCUGGAGAGAGAGCAGACUGAGCUGCUGCGGAAGAAAACGCUGGGGCGUUGGAAGUCUCCCCAGGCUGACGAGGGGACAUGACUACAGGACACAGUGGAGCGACAGCACAGACACACGGCAUCUGCGACAUCCACAAGUGCUAACCAACAUGACUAUGGAGGUUCCUGACCUGAAUGCUGGAGUUUUCCCACCUGUGACCUGACCACAGAAAAGAGUCUGUAGAGCGUCCCACUCAGCAACACCAAAUAAGACACAGAUUUGCACAUCCCAAGUUCAGAGAAAAUCUCACGCUCACUUCGGCUCCCCUGGAACCUGCAGCAGGCCUACACAAACCAAGAGUAUGCUCUGAUCAUGUGACAAGGAGUUUGUGGACACACAGCAGCCACCGUCCAGUGAUGCGGGAUUAAGUGAAACAGAUGGGCAACUCUGAGCAAUUAUCUCUGCAGAGUACGGCAGGGUGGACUCCCAGCUGCCCUCAGUAGCGGAAGGCUUAGCACAGAGCCAAUGGCGGGUAGAACGGUAUUUCACUUGUACUUUAAUGAAUAAAAUUUGUUUGAGGAUCAGAAAAGUAAAACAGUCACACUUAUAGACCAGGCAGCA